rnacentral:rRNA from 1 species
UAGGGAAUCUUCGGCAAUGGACGAAAGUCUGACCGAGCAACGCCGCGUGAGUGAAGAAGGUUUUCGGAUCGUAAAACUCUGUUGGUAGAGAAGAACGUUGGUGAGAGUGGAAAGCUCAUCAAGUGACGGUAACUACCCAGAAAGGGACGGCUAACUACGUGCCAGCAGCCGCGGUAAUACGUAGGUCCCGAGCGUUGUCCGGAUUUAUUGGGCGUAAAGCGAGCGCAGGUGGUUUAUUAAGUCUGGUGUAAAAGGCAGUGGCUCAACCAUUGUAUGCAUUGGAAACUGGUAGACUUGAGUGCAGGAGAGGAGAGUGGAAUUCCAUGUGUAGCGGUGAAAUGCGUAGAUAUAUGGAGGAACACCGGUGGCGAAAGCGGCUCUCUGGCCUGUAACUGACACUGAGGCUCGAAAGCGUGGGGAGCAAACAGGAUUAGAUACCCUGGUAGUCCACGCCGUAAACGAUGAGUGCUAGAUGUAGGGAGCUAUAAGUUCUCUGUAUCGCAGCUAACGCAAGUAAGCACUCCGCCUGGGGAGUACGACCGCAAGGUUGAAA